UACGUAGGGUGCGAGCGUUAAUCUGAAUUACUGGGCGUAAAGUGUGCGCAGGCGGCUGAGCAAGUCGAGUGUGAAAGCCCCGGGCUUAACUUGGGAAUUGCGCUCGAAACUACUUGGCUGGAGUGUGGCAGAGGAAGGUGGAAUUCCACGUGUAGCGGUGAAAUGCGUAGAGAUGUGGAGGAACACCAAUGGCGAAGGCAGCCUUCUGGGCCAACACUGACGCUCAUGCACGAAAGCGUGGGGAGCAAACAGG
rnacentral:rRNA from 1 species